rnacentral:lncRNA from 1 species
UUUUAUAUCAACAUAUUCCGGGUUAGAAUCCUUCUUUUUUUUUAACUCUUGAUUGAUUAUUUAUUGCAAAUUAUGAGAAUUGUUACAAUGACGAUUCUACUACCGACAAUUCUGUCCGACCCUUUUAGAUUUACCACAAAUUACACCUUUUCCUGACGACAUCUCUUUCUCCAUGCGUAGAAUCACGGCGAACGGCUCUAAUUGUGCAUUGUUAUAGAUCUCCUGUAAGCUUAUCUCUUUGAUCUGCAAAUUAAAUAAAUCGCAUUACCUGGACGUCGAACCCCAGACCUCUUGGUGUAGAAGCUUUAAACAACCUUUCGUCAACAUAUUCCGGGUUAGAAUCCUUCCUCCAGCAUAUUAUUUUUAAGGGAAAAAAAUAAAUAUUUUUGCAAUAAAUGAGGCCAGUACAUUUUGCACAAAAACCUUGCAGAAUCAUACAUAUAAAAGUAAAGUCCCACUUUCUCCUUAUUGGUGGAAAAACAUUUAAGCCCUUCAUUUAAAAAAAAACAUAUAUAUAUAUGGGGUUAUUGUCUAAUUGGGCCUUUAUUUGUGAUAAUCAUUCAAUACAAAAUGUUUAUGAUAAUCAUUCAAUACAAAAUUAAAUUACACCAUAAGUUAUAAACAAAUGGCAAAGAAAAUGAAAGGAGUUAAUUAUAUAUAUGGGGUUAUUGUCUAAUUGGGCCUUUAUUGCCCAAAAUCUUUCAAAUUGGGCAUUUCUAUCCGUCCUUCCAGAUUAGGGCAUUUUUUAAGUUUCGAAAUGACGCUAUUGCCCUCUUUCGUCGUGCGCGUGAUUUGAAUCGGCUUGAAACUCGGUAACUGCUCCGGCGAUUUGAUGUUAUUCAACUGUUUUGGGUUUUUGUGGAUGGUAAUUGAUGAUGUGUCUCGUGGGAGCAGUAGAUGUAUGGGUUACAACGUCGAUUGUUGAGGAUAUAUUUGAGUAUUUGGUUUUCUGUGGACAGUUUGAGAAAGGGGGAAAAAAAUUUACCAAAGAAGAACCGAGUAAUUCGUUAACGAAUAACCGUCUGAUAGAGAGAAGGAGUUAUGAACGAUGAGGUUAGUAACCAUAUCCUUACUCUGUUAUUACGAAUCUUAGUAGUUCCUUGUUCUGCAUACACUUUUUCUAACUUUUCUUGAAUAACCUUGGUUUGUCUUCUUUGGUACUUUUAUCAGUGCGGUAGUAUUUGAGGUAGUUAGAACUCUUCCUUAUGUAGUUGUCAGAUGCCUAAGUUGAAUACAACGUUUCACAGUAAUAUGUUUUAUGUCGUGAUUGCUCUUUGAUGUGUGUCUAACUCUCUGGUCUUUUUUUGUUUUACAGUCGGAGGAUGUCGUAGUGAUUGUCGUUGCAGGCAGUUGGGAAUUGAAGCUGGAAUCUGGGAUUUCGUUCUUGCUAAAGAAUG